rnacentral:rRNA from 1 species
AUUACAGGCCUAACACAUGCAAGUCGAGGGGCAUGCAUGAUCAAGCUUGCUUCUGAUUGAUGGCGACCGGCGCACGGAUGAGUAAGCAGUAUCCAACCUUCCCCUUAGUAUGGCAUAGGCCGGCGAGAGUCGGAUUAAUACCCUAUGUUCUUCGUAGAAGACAUCUGAAAUGAAGCAAGGUUUACCGCUAAGGGGAUGGGGGAUGCGUCCGAUUAGGUGGUCGGCGGGGUAACGGGCCCACCGAUGUCCUUCUUAUCGUGUAGGGGUUCUGAGAGGAAAGGCCCCCCCAAAACUGGGUAACUGAGACACGGGACCAGACUCCUACGGGAGGCAGCAGUGAAGAAUAUUGGUCAAAGGAACAACAAACCCAAAACCA